rnacentral:rRNA from 1 species
GACGAACGCUGGCGGCGUGCCUAAUACAUGCAAGUCGAACGAACUCUGGUAUUGAUUGGUGCUUGCAUCAUGAUUUACAUUUGAGUGAGUGGCGAACUGGUGAGUAACACGUGGGAAACCUGCCCAGAAGCGGGGGAUAACACCUGGAAACAGACGCUAAUACCGCAUAACAACUUGGACCGCAUGGUCCGAGCUUGAAAGAUGGCUUCGGCUAUCACUUUUGGAUGGUCCCGCGGCGUAUUAGCUAGAUGGUGGGGUAACGGCUCACCAUGGCAAUGAUACGUAGCCGACCUGAGAGGGUAAUCGGCCACAUUGGGACUGAGACACGGCCCAAACUCCUACGGGAGGCAGCAGUAGGGAAUCUUCCACAAUGGACGAAAGUCUGAUGGAGCAACGCCGCGUGAGUGAAGAAGGGUUUCGGCUCGUAAAACUCUGUUGUUAAAGAAGAACAUAUCUGAGAGUAACUGUUCAGGUAUUGACGGUAUUUAACCAGAAAGCCACGGCUAACUACGUGCCAGCAGCCGCGGUAAUACGUAGGUGGCAAGCGUUGUCCGGAUUUAUUGGGCGUAAAGCGAGCGCAGGCGGUUUUUUAAGUCUGAUGUGAAAGCCUUCGGCUCAACCGAAGAAGUGCAUCGGAAACUGGGAAACUUGAGUGCAGAAGAGGACAGUGGAACUCCAUGUGUAGCGGUGAAAUGCGUAGAUAUAUGGAAGAACACCAGUGGCGAAGGCGGCUGUCUGGUCUGUAACUGACGCUGAGGCUCGAAAGUAUGGGUAGCAAACAGGAUUAGAUACCCUGGUAGUCCAUACCGUAAACGAUGAAUGCUAAGUGUUGGAGGGUUUCCGCCCUUCAGUGCUGCAGCUAACGCAUUAAGCAUUCCGCCUGGGGAGUACGGCCGCAAGGCUGAAACUCAAAGGAAUUGACGGGGGCCCGCACAAGCGGUGGAGCAUGUGGUUUAAUUCGAAGCUACGCGAAGAACCUUACCAGGUCUUGACAUACUAUGCAAAUCUAAGAGAUUAGACGUUCCCUUCGGGGACAUGGAUACAGGUGGUGCAUGGUUGUCGUCAGCUCGUGUCGUGAGAUGUUGGGUUAAGUCCCGCAACGAGCGCAACCCUUAUUAUCAGUUGCCAGCAUUAAGUUGGGCACUCUGGUGAGACUGCCGGUGACAAACCGGAGGAAGGUGGGGAUGACGUCAAAUCAUCAUGCCCCUUAUGACCUGGGCUACACACGUGCUACAAUGGAUGGUACAACGAGUUGCGAACUCGCGAGAGUAAGCUAAUCUCUUAAAGCCAUUCUCAGUUCGGAUUGUAGGCUGCAACUCGCCUACAUGAAGUCGGAAUCGCUAGUAAUCGCGGAUCAGCAUGCCGCGGUGAAUACGUUCCCGGGCCUUGUACACACCGCCCGUCACACCAUGAGAGUUUGUAACACCCAAAGUCGGUGGGGUAACCUUUUAGGAACCAGCCGCCUAAGGUGGGACAGAUGAUUAGGGUGAAGUCGUAACAAGGUAGCCGUAG